GGAUGUUAGUAAAAUAAAUACAUAGCCUUGUCAAGACUAAAUUGCGGGUGAAAACCCCGCACAUCC
rnacentral:tRNA from 1 species